rnacentral:rRNA from 1 species
GACGAACGCUGGCGGCGUGCCUAAUACAUGCAAGUUGAGCGCUGAAGGUUGGUACUUGUACCGACUGGAUGAGCAGCGAACGGGUGAGUAACGCGUGGGGAAUCUGCCUUUGAGCGGGGGACAACAUUUGGAAACGAAUGCUAAUACCGCAUAAAAACUUUAAACACAAGUUUUAAGUUUGAAAGAUGCAAUUGCAUCACUCAAAGAUGAUCCCGCGUUGUAUUAGCUAGUUGGUGAGGUAAAGGCUCACCAAGGCGAAGAUACAUAGCCGGCCUGAAGGGGUGGACGGCCAAAAUUGGAAUGGAGAAAGGGCCAAAAUCCUUCGGGGGGCAGCCGUAGGGGAUCUUCGGCAAAGGGGGGAAAGCUUGACGGACAAAGCCGGGUGGGUGAAGGAAGUUUUCGGGUUGGAAAAGUCUGUUUGUAGGGAAGGACGAUGGUGAGAGUGAAAAGCUCAUGAAGUGACGGUACCUAACCAGAAAGGGACGGCUAACUACGUG